AAAAUUUAACCAUUCGUAUGGAGAUCACAUAGACGCAACUAAUUACUUGAUAAAGGCUGGAGCGAAUGCCAAAUUAAAAAACCAGGAUGGUCAAACUCCAGCUGAAGUGUAUGUGGACAACAAAUGU